GUGCUUUGCAAGUACUCUACUGCUGCCACCCUUGGGUGGAGCAAUGCCCAGAAAAAUGGCAACAGGACAUUUGUGGGGAAAAUUUAAGCAAGACAAUGGGCUGAGACAUCUCUUCCUCACACCAGUUUUUUUCUCAGUCUGCUUUUAAAAUGCUAGAAGCUGUGUUUGAAAGCAUGGAAGACUUAUGACUACUGCUAGCCUUUGUGUUUGCUCAUGGCAGACUAUUUAUUUUGAAAAGUACUGCUUGUUAAGUAAAUAAAAGACAAUAUAAUUUUGGCAAUUACUAUGUUUACAGGGAGCUGGAACAAGGUGAAAGUCACUGGCAUUCUUGUUGAGCUAGCUGAUAAAAUGUGACCUGAAAUAAUGUGUUACUAGUGAAGUCAUGCAAAAAAUCCCUAGACCCAGUACACUGAGACCAUGUCCUCAUUGUGAACAGAGCAAUAUUCAUACUGUGCUGUGGCAGUCUAAGAUGUGUGAAUCAUAAAAUACUGAACAAGCAAGUAAAAGCAAGAUAACUGCAGCUUCUUGGGAUGACUUUUGGACAAGAGUUUAUCAAAACUUGCAUGCAAAGCAGCUCAUUUCUUCUAGAAACCUCAAGUCUGAAAAAUCGGCAUCUUUAAAGACCCAUGAGAGCUGGACAAAUAAUGAAUGACCUUUGCCAUCUCUGGAUUGUACCACUGUGAGUUGUUAGAUGACAUUUUAUGGAGAACUAAUGAUCUGCUUACCAGUAAGCAGAAGAAUCACUUCCAAUCCUGAUACACAAUUUUUGUGUAUGUGAAUAAAGUUUUCUGAACAUGAAGGCCA
rnacentral:lncRNA from 1 species